rnacentral:tRNA from 1 species
GCGCCCGUAGCUCAGUUGGAUAGAGCACAGGAUUCCUAAUCCUGGGGCCGUGGGUUCAAUUCCCGCCGGGCGCGCCA